rnacentral:rRNA from 1 species
GCAACCUGCCCAAAAGAGGGGGAUAACACUUGGGAACAGGUGCUAAUACCGCAUAACCAUAGUUACCGCAUGGUAACUAUGUAAAAGGUGGCUAUGCUACCGCUUUUGGAUGGGCCCGCGACGCAUUAGCUAGUUGGUGGGGUAAAGGCUUACCAAGGCAAUGAUGCGUAGCCGAACUGAGAGGUUGAUCGGCCACAUUGGGACUGAGACACGGCCCAAACUCCUACGGGAGGCAGCAGUAGGGAAUCUUCCACAAUGGGCGAAAGCCUGAUGGAGCAACGCCGCGUGGGUGAAGAAGGUCUUCGGAUCGUAAAACCCUGUUGUUAGAGAAGAAAGUGCGUGAGAGUAACUGUUCACGUUUCGACGGUAUCUAACCAGAAAGCCACGGCUAACUACGUGCCAGCAGCCGCGGUAAUACGUAGGUGGCAAGCGUUAUCCGGAUUUAUUGGGCGUAAAGAGAACGCAGGCGGUCUUUUAAGUCUGAUGUGAAAGCCUUCGGCUUAACCGGAGUAGUGCAUUGGAAACUGGGAGACUUGAGUGCAGAAGAGGAGAGUGGAACUCCAUGUGUAGCGGUGAAAUGCGUAGAUAUAUGGAAGAACACCAGUGGCGAAAGCGGCUCUCUGGUCUGUAACUGACGCUGAGGUUCGAAAGCGUGGGUAGCAAACAGGAUUAGA